rnacentral:rRNA from 1 species
UUAAAUUGAAGAGUUUGAUCAUGGCUCAGAUUGAACGCUGGCGGCAGGCCUAACACAUGCAAGUCGAACGGUAACAGGAAGCAGCUUGCUGCUUCGCUGACGAGUGGCGGACGGGUGAGUAAUGUCUGGGAAACUGCCUGAUGGAGGGGGAUAACUACUGGAAACGGUAGCUAAUACCGCAUAACGUCGCAAGACCAAAGAGGGGGACCUUCGGGCCUCUUGCCAUCGGAUGUGCCCAGAUGGGAUUAGCUAGUAGGUGGGGUAACGGCUCACCUAGGCGACGAUCCCUA